rnacentral:tRNA from 1 species
CAAAAUGUAGCUUAACUAAAGCAUCUCGCUUACACCGAGAACAUGUCUGUGAGAUCCGGAUCAUUUUGA